UAGGGAAUCUUCCGCAAUGGGCGAAAGCCUGACGGAGCAACGCCGCGUGAGUGAUGAAGGUCUUCGGAUCGUAAAACUCUGUUAUUAGGGAAGAACAAAUGUGUAAGUAACUAUGCACGUCUUGACGGUACCUAAUCAGAAAGCCACGGCUAACUACGUGCCAGCAGCCGCGGUAAUACGUAGGUGGCAAGCGUUAUCCGGAAUUAUUGGGCGUAAAGCGCGCGUAGGCGGUUUUUUAAGUCUGAUGUGAAAGCCCACGGCUCAACCCUAGAGGGUCAUUGGAAACUGGAAAACUUGAGUGCAGAAGAGGAAAGUGGAAUUCCCUGUGUAGCGGUGAAAUGCGCAGAGAUAUGGGGGAACACCAGUGGCGAAGGCGACUUUCUGGUCUGUAACUGACGCUGAUGUGCGAAAGCGUGGGGAUCAAACAGG
rnacentral:rRNA from 1 species